UGGGGAAUAUUGCACAAUGGGGGAAACCCUGAUGCAGCGACGCCGCGUGAGCGAUGAAGGCUUUCGAGUCGUAAAGCUCUGUCCUAUGGGAAGAUAAUGACGGUACUAUAGAAGAAAGCCCCGGCUAAUUACGUGCCAGCAGCCGCGGUAAUACGUAAGGGGCGAGCGUUGUCCGGAAUUAUUGGGCGUAAAGAGCGCGUAGGCGGCAAAUUAAGUCAGAUGUGAAAACUAAGGGCUCAACCCAUAGAUUGCAUCUGAAACUGAUAUGCUUGAGUCGAGGAGAGGAAAGUGGAAUUCCUAGUGUAGCGGUGGAAUGCGUAGAUAUUAGGAGGAAUACCGGUGGCGAAGGCGACUUUCUGGACUUGAACUGACGAUGAGGAACGAAAGCGUGGGGAGCAAACAGG
rnacentral:rRNA from 1 species